rnacentral:tRNA from 1 species
GGCGCUAUCGAAUAGUGGCUUAGUUCGCGGCCCUCUCAAGGCUGAAACACGGGUUCGAUUCCCGUUAGCGCUA